UGGACAGAUUAUUGUAUUCGACUGUAUUCACGGCGUGAAAUAGAGGAUUACUCUGUUUUUAAAAUGAAAAGUGAAUCAAAUAACAUAAUAGACUCCU
rnacentral:pre_miRNA from 1 species